GAUGAACGCUGGCUACAGGCUUAACACAUGCAAGUCGAGGGGAAACGACGGGGAAGCUUGCUUCCCCGGGCGUCGACCGGCGCACGGGUGAGUAACGCGUAUCCAACCUGCCUCUGACUGAGGGAUAACCCGUCGAAAGUCGGCCUAAUACCUCAUGGCAUCGUCUGCGGGCAUCCAACGACGAUUAAAGAUUUCAUCGGUCAGGGAUGGGGAUGCGUCUGAUUAGCUUGUUGGCGGGGUAACGGCCCACCAAGGCGACGAUCAGUAGGGGUUCUGAGAGGAAGGUCCCCCACAUUGGAACUGAGACACGGUCCAAACUCCUACGGGAGGCAGCAGUGAGGAAUAUUGGUCAAUGGGCGGAAGCCUGAACCAGCCAAGUAGCGUGCAGGAAGACGGCCCUAUGGGUUGUAAACUGCUUUUAUGCGGGGAUAAAGUGAGGGACGUGUCCUUCAUUGCAGGUACCGCAUGAAUAAGGACCGGCUAAUUCCGUGCCAGCAGCCGCGGUAAUACGGAAGGUCCGGGCGUUAUCCGGAUUUAUUGGGUUUAAAGGGAGCGUAGGCCGUGGAUUAAGCGUGUUGUGAAAUGCAGGUGCUCAACGUCUGCACUGCAGCGCGAACUGGUCCACUUGAGUGUGCGCAACGCAGGCGGAAUUCGUCGUGUAGCGGUGAAAUGCUUAGAUAUGACGAAGAACUCCGAUUGCGAAGGCAGCUUGCGGGAGCACAACUGACGCUGAAGCUCGAAAGUGCGGGUAUCGAACAGG
rnacentral:rRNA from 1 species